AGCGAGAACAGCACAGGUUCACCUCUCCCUACAGUGACGCGCGCUGUCCCUGAGCAGGGUGCGUGCUGGGAUUGUAGUCCUGAAGCCCUGUGACCAAAGGGCUGGGAGGAAUAAUGAGAAACAUCUCCCAGAAAGCCCAGCAAGGCGCUCACACCCCUUUCUCUUCCUCCAGUGAGGCGGAGUGCCCGGCGCCCCGUGCAUGCUGAAAUUGUAGUCCUACAGCGAUGUGAUGAAAGGGCUGGGAGUGUUUAUGGGACUACCUCUCCCAGCAAGCCCAGCGAGGCGCGCACAGACCUGCCUCUUCCUCCAGUGACUAGUGCACUCUUCCUGAGCCAGAGGUAUGCUGAAAUUGUAGUGCUGCAGCCCUGUGACUAAAGGACUGGAGUAGUUAUGAGACUGCAUCUCCCAGCAAGCCCAGCGAGGCACGCACAGCUCCUCGUCUUCCACCAGUGACACACACUGUCCUUGAACACGCUGCAUGCUGGGAUUGUAGUCCUGCAGCCCUGUGACAAAAGACCCCAUCUCCAAAAGAGAAUCAGAGAGGCGGUCUGGAAGCCAUUUAGAAUCCCCAGCCCCCAACCUAGUAGCAAUGGACUUGGAUACAAAGAGGCAACCUACUGACCUCAAAGACACCUGCCCAGAUUCUGGGCAUUGAAUUCUUGCCUCCCUAAGAAAGAUCUCAUCUGAGUCACAUCAAAGCCCACACUCUUCUUCAACGUUCACCUUCCAGACACGUUCCAAAACAGCGCCUCAGAAUUGUCUUGAGAUGAAACAAAAGGUGAUGAAGCUCCAGGUUUGGAAUACCUGCCUCAUUCCUCACUCCUGAAAAGUCUACACCUGCUGGUUAGAACUCUCACACCUUAGGAGCCCAGCCUCUCAGAGUGCAUCCUCUAA